UCACUUAUUUUAUCUCUCUCUAUAAUCUCUAAAGAUGUGUUUAAGUUCUUCAGAACCAUUCUCACACACACCCACGAGAUUAGUUUUGUACCUCAAAACACAUACCCACGUUCGUAUCCCUCGCCUCUCAAGGAGGAGAAGGAUGUGGCGGGAAGAAAAGGAGAUGGAGAUGAA